AUUACUAAGCGGAGGAAAAGAAAAUAACGAUGAUUCCCCCAGUAACGGCGAGUGAAGUGGGAAGAGCCUAGCACUGAAUCCCUUGCCGCUGCGGCAACGGGAGCUGUAGUGUUUGGGACGGNCUCUGUGCGGUGCGCGGCGAUUCGAAGUUCGCUUGAACGCGGCUUACUGGGCUUCUUACGAGGCCUUGCCAGAGAGGGUGUCAGACCCGUGUGGAACGUCGCGUCUCUCGCGCUUUGGCUCGUCUCUAGAGUCGGGUUGUUUGGGAAUGCAGCCCAAAUCGGGUGGUAAACUCCAUCCAAGGCUAAAUAUGCUCGCNAGUCCGAUAGCA
rnacentral:rRNA from 1 species